GAUUAUGGCUCAGGACGAACGCUAGCUACAGGCUUAACACAUGCAAGUCGAGGGGUAGCAGGGUAGCAAUACCGCUGACGACCGGCGCACGGGUGAGUAACACGUAUCCAACCUUCCCAUAACUCAAGGAUAGCCUUUCGAAAGAAAGAUUAAUACCUGAUAGUACUUUUUCAAGGCAUCUUGAGAAAGUUAAAGAUUUAUUGGUUAUGGAUGGGGAUGCGUUCCAUUAGAUAGUUGGUGAGGUAACGGCUCACCAAGUCUUCGAUGGAUAGGGGUUCUGAGAGGAAGGUCCCCCACAUUGGUACUGAGACACGGACCAAACUCCUACGGGAGGCAGCAGUGAGGAAUAUUGGUCAAUGGGCGAGAGCCUGAACCAGCCAAGUAGCGUGAAGGAAUGAAGGUCCUAUGGAUUGUAAACUUCUUUUAUAGUAGAAUAAAGUGAUCCACGUGUGGAUUUUUGUAUGUAUACUAUGAAUAAGGAUCGGCUAACUCCGUGCCAGCCGCGGC
rnacentral:rRNA from 1 species